GGCUAAAAAUAACUAAUUGCACAGAUUGUGACUACUUUAUGAGACGAAUAUUUUAAGCCUAACUGCUCCAUGAUUUAACAAUAUGGUGUUAUAGGAAACACGUGCUAAGACGUAUUAAUUAGGCUUAAUAAAUUCAUCUCGCGGUUUACUGACGGAUUCUGUAAUUAGUUUUUUUAUCAG
rnacentral:misc_RNA from 1 species